UCCGUAGUUGUAUCCUGUAGCGACCUUCUGUGGCCACGAGGGGGACAAGUAGCUGUCACGUCAAAACGAUAAAUAUGAGGAGAGAAGAGAUGCCAUUGCUUUACCUCCAUACAGAUGAAGACGGCUGAGCUGAAGCGAAGGCCGUUCACAGAAUGGUAACAGGUUUUGUUAAAAGCUUUUGACUCUUUAUUGCCCCUUGAGACGCAACCCUGGCUCCAGUGCCUCUGUUGCGCAGUAAGUCGGCAGAAAGUAACGGGCUCUCGAUAGCUCAAAUCCACUAUUAAGUGGGCUUUGGGUAUGGAACCGGGCCAGAUACUUACUGUCAAUCUACCAUGAAGACGUCAAGGAUUCCACUUUGAUGGUUCAGACACACCUGUGGAGCAGCAGCGGCUUGACUUCAGGAAGGUGACUACUCAGUGUGCCUCAGGGUUGGAGACGAUAUUAUUUCCAGGAGCUCUCAUGAUCCCUCACCACCUCUCUUCAUGUCUUGAUUUCCUGUUCGAGCAUUUCAUCCGCCUUACUUCCAUUAGUUUGUUUUGUCUUUUGCUUAACUGAUGAAGACAUUGUUUUUUCAGUUGUAUUUUUUAUUUUGAUUACGUGCAUAUGCAGCGUAAUGUCCUCGUUGUGCAUAAUCACAUAUGAAAGAUUACUUUGGCAAUUGCAUUUGUGGUGAGUGCUAUAUCAGUUUUCCCACAAUCAAAUCACUCUGAUGAUCAUAUGAUAAAGGAAAGUGUUUGUCUGUGUCGAUCCAUUCCCUAGGAAAUGGUGAUUUCCUUUCCUGUUCACUCACAUUUACAAACUGAAAAUAUGUAAUGGGAGCUUUUACUUGACUAUUCAGCUGGUGUCGAAUUUGACAUGCUUGAAACAGAAAAUGUAAUAAAAUAAAGCUACAUAAAAUAAAAUUAUUUUCCUGAAAGUUGUAAAAUGUCCAUUUUAAAAAUAAUAUCACUUAAUAGGGUAGAGCAAAACAAACAAAAAGUUAAAAGAAUAACUCAUAAAAAGACUUAAUUAUUGAGGUGCAUAAAAUUUAGGAGCACUAGAAGCAAAAGACUGCAAAAUUAAAUAGAAUUCAUUGUAGUAAAAAAACACGGAAAGCAAACGUCAGCAUGCAUUGAAGUGGCUCAGUGUGAAGUGUAGCAGACGGGGCAAAAGUGGCUGCACGCAGACUAAUGUGGGAUCAGUGCUGAACUUGA
ensembl:lncRNA